rnacentral:rRNA from 1 species
GACGAACGCUGGCGGCGUGCUUAACACAUGCAAGUCGAACGGAAAGGCCCUGCUUUUGUGUGGUGCUCGAGUGGCGAACGGGUGAGUAACACGUGAGUAAUCUGCCCUUGACUUUGGGAUAACUUCAGGAAACUGGGGCUAAUACACGAUAGGAACUCCUGCUGCAUGGUGGGGGUUGGAAAGUUUCGGCGGUUGGGGAUGGACUCGCGGCUGAUCAGCUUGUUGGUGGGGUAGGGGCUUACCAAGGCUUAGACGGGUAGCCGGGCUGAGAGGGGCGCCGGCCACAUUAGGACUGAGAUACGGCACAGACUCAUACGGGAGGGAGCGGAGGAGAAGAGAGCACUAUGGGCGGAGGGAAGAUCUAGCGAAGCGGCGUGGGGGAUGUGAGGAAUUGGGUUGGUAAGUGCUGCUGCAUGAGAAGAGGCGAGAAUGACGGUAACGGGGUAAGAAGCCCCGGCUAACUACGUG